ACAUCCAGAGAACUUAGCAGAGAUGCUUUGGUGCCUUCGGGAACUCUGAGACAGGUGCUGCAUGGCUGUCGUCAGCUCGUGUUGUGAAAUGUUGGGUUAAGUCCCGNAACGAGCGCAACCCUUAUCCUUUGUUGCCAGCGGCUCGGCCGGGAACUCAAAGGAGACUGCCGGUGAUAAACCGGAGGAAGGUGGGGAUGACGUCAAGUCAUCAUGGCCCUUACGGCCAGGGCUACACACGUGCUACAAUGGCGCAUACAAAGAGAAGCGACCUCGCGAGAGCAAGCGGACCUCAUAAAGUGCGUCGUAGUCCGGAUUGGAGUCCGCAACUCGACUCCAUGAAGUCGGAAUCGCUAGUAAUCGUAGAUCAGAAUGCUACGGUGAAUACGUUCCCGGGCCUUGUACACACCGCCCGUCACACCAUGGGAGUGGGUUGCAAAAGAAGUAGGUAGCUUAACCUUCGGGAGGGCGCUUACCACUUUGUGAUUCAUGACUGGGGUGAAGUCGUAACAAGGUAAGCGUAGCGAG
rnacentral:rRNA from 1 species